rnacentral:rRNA from 1 species
AUUGAACGCUGGCGGCAGGCCUAACACAUGCAAGUCGAGCGGAUGAAGGGAGCUUGCUCCUGGAUUCAGCGGCGGACGGGUGAGUAAUGCCUAGGAAUCUGCCUGGUAGUGGGGGAUAACGUCCGGAAACGGGCGCUAAUACCGCAUACGUCCUGAGGGAGAAAGUGGGGGAUCUUCGGACCUCACGCUAUCAGAUGAGCCUAGGUCGGCUUGGCUAGUUGGUGGGGUAAAGGCCUACCAAGGCGACGAUCCGUAACUGGUCUGAGAGGAUGAUCAGUCACACUGGAACUGAGACACGGUCCAGACUCCUACGGGAGGCAGCAGUGGGGAAUAUUGGACAAUGGGCGAAAGCCUGAUCCAGCCAUGCCGCGUGUGUGAAGAAGGUCUUCGGAUUGUAAAGCACUUUAAGUUGGGAGGAAGGGCAGUAAGUUAAUACCUUGCUGUUUUGACGUUACCAACAGAAUAAGCACCGGCUAACUUCGUG